UUAAGGCUUAGAACAUUUUCGACUCUAAGCUCCAGUGGGAAAACCAGUUUGUAUUUGGGGAGGUGCGUCCAUGAACACCCGGGUCUGUCUUGGUUGCCAAGGUCAAGGCUGCCUCGUGCUUCCCCGCCUCAUUGUUGGGCUGUGGUCUCACAUAUUAUCUUCAUGCUCCUGAGUUUCUCUCUCCUUUCUGUUGGAAGAAUGAAGACAAAACAUCUAUGGCUCGAUCAACAAGAGUUCAUCCCUUCGGAAGCCCCAGGACUGUUUAUCGGACUCCCUGAUACAGCUUAAUUAUACUUAAGUCCAUGUGUUUCGGAGAUCUCCAAAAAGCCUAAAAAGAUCUACCAAUCCCAAAUUAGUUUAGGAACCAGCAUGUCCCUUGCUUUAAGGAACAUGGUAAACAUUUCAGGAGAGCAUGCCAGCUCAUUAUCCAAGCCUCUCUCCUCGGUGACUUCAGGGAAAACAGCAGUAGUUAAGCAAUGUUUGCCAAACGCCAAUCUGGGAAUGGGUGUUGAUUUUAAAAGAGCAGGAGCGGGGAGCUCGCUGCUGGCUGCAGGUUCUCCUGGUCGGCGGCGGCGGCGCGGAGGCGAAGGACCCUUUCUGCAGACUUUCCAGGCGGACUCGCGGCCCCUCCUUGACCUCCCUGCUCCUGGUGGGUGGGAGUCCCUGACAGCUGAAUAAUCGAGGUGGGCUGUGUGCAGCCUGUCCCCCGAGAAGGAGACACAGCUCCCGAGUCUGGAGACGGAAGACGGGGAAGCAGUCUUCGGUUGUCCUCAGCAGAUGCCGCCUGGGCUGUCGGCCCCGUGCUCAGGAGUUCUGGUCCCAUAAGGAUGCUGGCGUCCUCCCGUUGUCUGCCUUCCUCCUCUAUAGGACACAGAGGCGUCCGCAAGGUGUGCUUUUUGGAGGUGUGUUGUCACCUUCACUAUCAUCAUCAGCUCCUCAUCCCCGCGUGCACACACCUCACAGCUUCAAGACAAGACGCCUUUGAAUACAGAAUCCUUUCUGGAACAAGGAUGGAAGAGUAAAUCAAGUAGAUCCGUUUUCAACAUGUGCCGGAGAACACAGACAGCCUUGCCAAUGACGUCUUCCAUUCGAGCAGUCGGAGCCCUGUGCAAAUGUGCGCAAGAGAAACGCAGGCUCCGGGAGAAGGCUUCGAAAGAGUGGUCGAUGGAGCCCCUUGCUGUGGCUCUCGAACACGUCGCUCGCCCCUUCGGGACAGGGAUGGGGAAAGUAGGUGUGCACCUGUGCAGGUGGGCCACCACCUCCUAGCCCUGGAGAUCGGGGAAGGGCCGCCUGGGAAGGAUAAAGCCAUUUCUGGCUCCUGUGCACAAGUGAAGCCUCACGCCUGUAACACACAUAAGAGGUGCUUGAGGUCUCACCCGUCCUUUCCGCCCUGCGUGGCAGGUGUAGCCUUUCCCAUUGUGCCGAGGAAGGGAGCAUGCUGUGGGCUGAUGCCAUCGCCGCUUGUGCCCAAGGCAGGGAAGUGGCCGAGCUGGACUUCGGUUCAGCAUUCUUCUUCUCCUUCUGCUUCUUUUUCUCCUCCUCCUCCUCCUUCCUCUUCCUUCUCUUCCUCUUCCCUCCUCCUCCCCCUCCCCCUCCUUCUUGUGUAACUAAUUUGGAGACUUCGCUGUUCAACUCAACUCGGUGGAACUGUUCACUGCAGAUAAUGCAAAACGCCAGGAGGUGUGCAGACUGCUUCAACUUCCUCCCUUUAUCUUGCAUGGUGGGUCCUUGCUGUACCUGUGAUGUCUGCCCUCAUGGCAAUUAGAUCUUUUUCCUUUGUAGGCAGCAUGGGGAUCUUUAUUAAAACAGCUAAAUAUUGUUUAACAUACCGAUUCAUAAGCGACAGCUCUGUGGCACGACUUCAGUGAUUUUGACAGCUGACCGUUUCUCGAGGACUUUAGCCUGUCAUGCUGGCAGUCCAGUGCUGCCUCAUAAGGCACACGCUCUCUCCAUCGUGAAGCCAAGAUGUCCCUGGGACCGACGUGGGGGCCUGGGGCUUGGGGGUGGGAGUUUUUAUCCUCCCUUCCAUCUGCUAGUAACAUGGAAAGAUGCAGGCCUGGCUUUCCAGCAUCCCCUGUCGGCGCCCUGAAGGCUGCGGAAGAGAGACAAAUUGAGAGGAGAAGCAGAAAAAAGCUUCUGGCCGUAGGGUAUCUCUGUGCCUUUGAGCGUUAAUCCCCGUGGCUUUCCCCGGAGAGAAUGGAGCGAUUUUCCACUCUCGUAAAGAAGAAAGAAGAUUUCCCGCUCCCAACGGGAGCUCGCAGGGGCCCUGCGCUGCUCUGGAAAUUGCGUGAAAUGUCAAUACGGUAGAGGCAGGCGUGCGCGUUCGGCGCUUCUUAGCUGGUUCCCUAACAACCCCGCGGGGGCCCAGCGCCGGCCUUAGCGACACGCCGCAUUAGGCGUGCGGUCCAAGGCACGGUUUCAGAAAGGGCUGCGUGUUCACGGCGCAGACCGGCUCCCGGUGCGCGUGCUUCAGGCAGGAAAGACACGGGAUUUGAGGCAGCAGUACUGGGCCUGGCUGGGCCGAGGCGCCCCACACCACGUGGGAGCGAUUACGUGGUCCCUCGAACCGUCCAGCCGUGCGGGAUGUGAUGGGGGCGGGGGUCCGUGUCUUUCGGCAGGAUUUUAAGCUGGAGAAGGGCACAUCCUGUCCUGUGCUUCACUGACUCCCGAGGCUGCGUCCUCUGACUUCGGUGGAAAUCCAGUUGGAAAUUAGCAUAAAAAGGAUGUGCGCUCCCAGAGGCAGAGGGGGUCUUUGGUUGUUGGCAGUGGUUUUAGCAGAGCCUGGGGGAGAUCCUGGUAACGGGUUUUUGAAAUAAUGAAAAUGAAAUCAGGCAUGUGGGUGAGAAGGCAUCCCAGGGACGUGAGCAGAGGACAAGAUGCUGACUCCUCUGCGAAUGUUCAGAGUGGGGUGUCCGGGCCCUGAGCUACACACUCGGGAAGGGUCCCGGCCCGUUCUCCCCUCCACCCCGAAUUCUCAUCAUGUUGGCUGUUUGGCCUCAUGGUCCCCAGAGGAUGGUGACGAUAAUUAAUAGUAAUUACCAUUAUAAUGGUGAUCAUACUGGGUCUGACUCACAUUGUGACUGCCAUUCUUCUAAGCCCCUCCUAUAUUCUCACUCAUUAAAUAGUCCCAUCAGUCCAUAAGGCGGGUACCGUUGUUUCUCACUUAAAGAUGGGGAAACCGAGGCAGGGAAACUCGUCCCAAGUUAGGUGGACGGAGCCAGGAGCGGGCCACCGGCGCAGCCUGUAGUCCAGGCUUACCCUUCUGAGCUUACCUUUCUAUGUCCACGUAUUGCUUUUCCCCAGCCUGAGCAGGACAAGAGGGAACCAUGUGGGGUCACGUGGCCACCCUUCAAAGGGGGCUGGGAAAGUGACUAGCAGUGGGAAGCAGGAGUUCCAGGAUCCCUUUAGAAAAACCAUGAUUCAUGCCAUAGUGCUGGGCGUCUUGCCACCCUGAACAGAAUGCGGAUUCCUGAAGCAAAGAAGAGGUAGGAAAUUGCAGUCAGCAUCAAUGAAUAACAUAUCUGCCACGUGAAGAAAGAAUCCAUCCAUCCGCUUGCAAAUUAAAAAACAAUUUUCUAGAUAACUUGAGUUUAAAAGAAAAUUAAAAACAAAAUUAAAAGCCAUUUAGAAAUAAUUGAGCUCGGAUGAACUAAAGUGUACCUCCCAAAGAGGAAAAAUCUAAGAAGAAAAACAACUCAGAGAAAAAAAUGUGAGCGGUGAUAGAAAGGUUACAUAAAAAAAACAAACACACCAGAAAACAGGCUCAUAUGACUUUAGGAGGCGUCCUUUAAAUUUGUAAGGAAUAGACGGUACCGCUACUGAUGUAAACUAUCCACAGAACAGAAAAAGAAGAUUUCCAGCUCCUUCCGUGACAUCACUGACGCUACGUCCAGACAAGGCUGGUAUCGAAAAUAUAUAGGCCAAUUCUCUUAUGAAAACAGUGCAGAAAAUUCCAACUGAAACCUUAACAAAGAGGAAUUUCCAUUGUGGCUCAGCGGGUUAAGGACCUGACACGGCCUCUGUGAGGGUGCGGGUUCGGCCCCUGGCCUC